rnacentral:pre_miRNA from 1 species
UCUUAUGGAUGAGCAAAGAAAGUGGUUUUCUGACAUAGAAUCUACUCCUGGUGAAGAUGCUGGUGUGGU